rnacentral:RNase_P_RNA from 1 species
UAAGGGUGAAAGGGUGAGGUAAGAGCUCACCAGUUCCGGCGGUGACGUCGGAAGCUCGGUAAACCCCAUCCGGAGCAAGACCGAAUAGGGGGACGUUUGAGGGCGGUCCGUCCGAAGUCCCCGGGUUAGGUUGCUUGAGGCCGUUGGCAACGGCGGCCCUAGAUGAAUGAUCGUCACUCCGCUGCGGGUAACCGCGGCGGGGAACAGAACCCGGCUUAUGGCCUUCUUCGACCA